rnacentral:lncRNA from 1 species
CUCAAGGAUAAGUGAAAGGAUGAAGAAGCUGACACCAAGGAACACAGCUACUCCAGUGAUGAGGUGGAUAAAGUGCUCAAUCUCCAUGGCAAUGGGAGUCUUACCCCCUUCCAGUCCAGAUGCCAGACUGGCAAUACGGCCCAUCACAGUGCGGUCUCCAGUGCUAAUAACAAUGCCACGGGCAGUGCCUUCCACACAGUUGGUGGAAAAGAAGGCAAUGUUCCUAGUUUCCAGUGGGUUCUCAUUGGAGAAGUCUGGAGACCUGGUCUGAGGCUCUGACUCACCAGUAAGCGAGGAGUUAUCCACCUUGCAACCAUGUGCAGAUAUGAUCCGAAGGUCAGCUGGAAUUCUGUCUCCUCCUUUCACCUCUACCAGAUCUCCAACUACAACACCUUCAGCAUUUAUGCUCAUCUUCUCACCAUUUCUGACUACAAGAGCUUGCUGAGGCACCAUGUUCUUGAACGACUCCAUGAUCUUCGAACUCUUCGCUUCUUGGUAAUAUGAGAAACAGCCAGUAAUGAUAACCACAGCUGCCAACACAACACCUAGGUACAGGUUAUCAGUAUUUGGCUCUCCCUCCAUCACACUUGUAAUGCCAUAAGCCAGAAAACACAGAAGGGAACCGAUCCACAACAGGAGUGAGAAUCCUCCAAAGAGCUGCCGACAGAACUUGACCCAUUCAGGAGUGGUGGGUGGAGGUGUAAGGGUAUUUGGGCCAUCACGAGCCAAAAUCUCAGCUGCACGUGCAGUAGUCAAACCCCGACUCAAGUCUGUUCCAUAUUUACGAUGAAGUUCAUCAAGGCUGAGCUUGUGGUCAUCCAUAGAGACUUCUUUUUUAAGCUCAUCCAUGUCCCUCUCCUUCGCCUUUUUCUUCUUUGUGCCAUGUUCUGAUGUAGCAGUAGGCUCAUACUUGUCUCUUCCAGCCCCCUUCCCCAUGGUGCCGGGCGUGCGGGACACGCGGCUGGCAGCGAGGAGCGGCGCUCAACGACGCCACGUGGCUCAGCAGGUGCCGAACAAUAGCAGCGCCCGCCGCUCCGCUUUCCUCCCGCUCGCCUCUCUCUCGCCCGGCUCCUCGCCGCCGCAACCACCCGCAGCUCCGAUACGGCACCGGCUUCCCGCCGGAUAAAGCCCCG